UACGUAGGGUCCGAGCGUUGUCCGGAAUUACUGGGCGUAAAGAGCUCGUAGGUGGUUUGUCGCGUUGUUCGUGAAAACUCACAGCUUAACUGUGGGCGUGCGGGCGAUACGGGCAGACUGGAGUACUGCAGGGGAGACUGGAAUUCCUGGUGUAGCGGUGGAAUGCGCAGAUAUCAGGAGGAACACCGGUGGCGAAGGCGGGUUCUCUGGGGC
rnacentral:rRNA from 1 species